rnacentral:rRNA from 1 species
ACCUACGGGGCGCAGCAGUGGGGGAUAUUGCACAAUGGGGGCAACCCUGAUGCAGCGACGCCGCGUGAGCGAUGGAGUACUUCGGUAUGUAAAGCUCUGUCAGCAGGGAAGAAAAUGACGGUACCUGAAGAAGAAGCCCCGGCUAACUACGUGCCAGCAGCCGCGGUAAUACGUAGGGGGCAAGCGUUAUCCGGAUUUACUGGGUGUAAAGGGGGCGCAGACGGCGAUGCAAGCCAGGAGCGAAAGCCCGGGGCCCAACCCCGGGACUGCUCUUGGCACUGCGUGGCUGGAGUGCAGGAGGGGCG